rnacentral:rRNA from 1 species
UGUGGCGCAUGCCACGCUUUUGAAAGAUGGUUUCGGCUAUCGCUUACAGAUGGGCCCGCGGUGCAUUAGCUAGUUGGUAGGGUAAUGGCCUACCAAGGCAACGAUGCAUAGCCGACCUGAGAGGGUGAUCGGCCACACUGGGACUGAGACACGGCCCAGACUCCUACGGGAGGCAGCAGUAGGGAAUCUUCCGCAAUGGACGAAAGUCUGACGGAGCAACGCCGCGUGUAUGAAGAAGGUUUUCGGAUCGUAA